rnacentral:rRNA from 1 species
AUGUUCAUCAUGCACCGCCCUCCUACUAAUAUCGCUCCCAACACCCACCACCCACCACCUUGCUUGGUCCAUGUUGGGGCUAGAGCUAACUGGUCUCGCUCCGGCCACCUCGACAUGCUCUCCGGCCAAUCCCACCAUAUGAAGGUUCUCGCCGUUCCGGCUUCCAGCUCCCAAGGCAACUCCAACAACAACAUCAGCCAACAUACAAAACUAAGGACGGACAAGUUCUUCGAAGUGGAGAUGGCCGGCCAUGACAACGAACUUGACGAGUAUGGAGUCGUUAACAACGCCAUUUAUGUUGCUUACAUCCACAACGCUCGAGAGGAGCUGGCUGCGAGCAUUGGCUUCAGAAUGGCCUCCGUAGCACGCACCGGCAACGCGAUGGCGCUCCUGGAGCUGAACCUCAAGUACUUCAAGCCUCUACGACGAGGUGCCAAGUUUGUCGUCAAGGUUAGGAUUGUCCAGAUAAAGGGCGUGAGGAUACUUGUUGAUCACUUCAUCGAGACGCUGCCGGAUCAUAAGCUUGUAUUGGAAGCGACAGCGACCGUCGUCUGCCUCAGCAAGGGCUACCGUCCGACCCGCGUCUUCCCAGAGAUGUCAUCUAAACUGCAUCAGUUCUUCUCAUCCAAGGAUAGUUAG